AUUGCUUUAUGGACUUUUAGCUAAGAUAAAAUGUAGUAUCUGUUCUUAUUAGUUUAAUAUUUGAUGUGUCUUCUAUGUAAGGACAAUGUAUUCAAUAGAUUUUUGGAGCUGGGGAAUAGACUAGGAGCUUCCUCUCUCCAUUCCGGGCAUUGACCUGGUAUCGUGGUAUGUUCUGGAAUGAUGCCCCCUCU
ensembl:snRNA U2 U2 spliceosomal RNA